GAUGAAGAACGUAGCGAAAUGCGAUAAGUAGUGUGAAUUGCAGAAGUACCGUGAAUCAUCGAAUCUUUGAACGCAAAUUGCACUCUCUGGUAUUCCGGGGAGUAUGCCUGUUUGAGGGUCGCUUAACAAACCAUCGAUUUCGUUGCUUUUUUUUAAAAAGUAAUGUUUAUCGGAUUUGAGCCGUCUUUUUUUUUAUAUUUAAGUGGCUUAAAAUUGAUUUUUUUGGUAUGAUCGAAGCGUAUUUUAUGAUCAAUUUUUGGUUAAAGAAACGCAUACGCGUACCGUUAUUUGUAUGAUGUAAUACGUUUGACUAUUGGAUUUAGUUCAUUCGUAUACGAUAUUUUUCAAUAUUUGACCUCAAAUCAGGUAAGAACACCCGCUGAACUUAAGCAUAUCAAUAAGCGGAGGA
rnacentral:misc_RNA from 1 species